UACGUAGGUGGCAAGCGUUGUUCGGAUUUACUGGGCGUAAAGGGCGCGUAGGCGGCCACCGCAAGUCGACUGUGAAAUCUCCGGGCUUAACCCGGAAAGGUCAGCCGAUACUGCGGGGCUAGAGUGCAGAAGGGGCAACUGGAAUUCUCGGUGUAGCGGUGAAAUGCGUAGAUAUCUGGAGGAACACCGGUGGCGAAGGCGGCAUCCUGGACCAACACUGACGCUGAGGAGCGAAAGCCAGGGGAGCAAACGGG
rnacentral:rRNA from 1 species